GCUGUAGCUCAGUGGGAGAGCACCUGCCUUGAAUGCAAAAGGUCCCAGGUUCAAUCCCCAGUAUCUCCA